CAUUAAUACUCUUGACUUAAUCAAUCCUGAAUCCUGUACCAAUUGUAUGGAAUGAUUCAAGAAUCAUAAUCUGAUACGAUUUAUCGAUAUUACUGCAACAAUGUCUUGAACUCUUGAUUAUGAUUCAUGCUUAUAGUCAUGUAUUUAGCCAAUUGUUUCCCAAGUACUUUCUAAAGCUGUCCAAAAGAUUGAAUUUAUGUGAAUAGCAGUUUGAAUUUAUGGUGUUGUUUAUAUUAGCUUUUAAGUUAUAUAAGUGUAUGUUUGGUUACACUUUUGGAUGAUUUAAAAUUGAUUCUAUAGGUGUUGAAUUGAUUUUAGUGCAAUGAAAGUGUAUGUUUGGAUUAGCUUUUAAGUUAUAUAAGUGCUUUCAAUUCAUUCUUAUUCCCGUGUUUUGUUUCCCUUAUGUUUGUUUUCUCUUUGUACCUGAGUUGUUUUCUUUUGUAUGACAUCUUAAAUCCAGAGAGGAAUUUGAUGAAGAGAAAGAACCUGAUGGGAUGGUUCUCUCAGGAUGCAGUCAACCGGUGUCAGCAGCAGAGAUGAAAUCCAGAGAGGAAUUUGAUGAAGAGAAAUAAUGCAGACACCAAAAGCAAGGUUCAAUCUGUACAGCUGUUACUUGGCGGCCGUGAAAUACCUCCAACAGUACCUUCCAUGCCACUGACGAAAAUAACCGGGUAAUACUACAUUAUUUCGUUGGAGUGUGAUUGAUAGUCUUUUGUAGUCGAAUAUCUGGCUCAUGGAGCAUUCUACUAGGGAUUUAUCGGUACUCCUCAAAAAUUCAGUGUCCCUCAAAGAUUAGCUUCAUUGAUUAGAAGUAGCAUUAAGGAUGCUAACAAAUACUCUCACUAGCGGAUAAUUAAUUUGGUGGCACGAUAUCUUGAAGAUUGGGGGAGAAGACAACGAUGAUGGAUGGUUUAUUGAUAAUGUGUGUAAUGUUCUUGGCAUUGGCACCAUAGAUGGCUGGGUCCAGUUUGCUUCAAGAAUCUUGAUCCUAGUUUGUUUAGCAAAGCUGCAAACCCAGGGGCCUCUCAGAGGCUGAUGAGAAUUGGAAUUGGCAGACGUCUUGCUGCCAGCAGAGAGGGAAACUGCCACCGAAAUGUUGAGCAUUCUGUCAGAGUUUAAACUGCAGCAGCACCGCCCAGAAAUUAAGUGAAAAGUGUAGAGUUCAAACCUAGUUUCUAAAUUGAUAAGUUAGUUAAUAUAUGUAUAUUCAUGAUAUCCACAUACAUAAUGUCAUUGUCCAAAGAUAUCAUUUUAUUAUAGA